AUAAACCCUACCUUUUGACAAAUUUGCUGUACAAGUUAAAAGUAAUUAAUCAGUCAGCGUGAUAUCAGUCAAUCCUUUGAUCGAUAUUUAUAAUGUUGAAUGAUUU